UUAACACAUGCAAGUCGAACGCGAAAGGGACUUCGGUCCUGAGUAAAGUGGCGCACGGGUGAGUAACGCGUAGAUAACCUGUCUUCAUGUCUGGAAUAAUACGCCGAAAGGGGUACUAAUACCGGAUAUUCUUGCUUUUCAUAAGUUAUGCAAGCAAAGGUGGCCUCUGCAUAUGCUACUGCAUGAAGAGGGGUCUGCGUACCAUUAGCUAGUAGGUGGGGUAAUGGCCUACCUAGGCGACGAUGGUUAGCGGGUCUGAGAGGAUGAUCCGCCACACUGGCACUGGAACACGGGCCAGACUCCUACGGGAGGCAGCAGUGAGGAAUAUUGCGCAAUGGGGGAAACCCUGACGCAGCGACGCCGCGUGAGUGAAGGAAGGCCUUCGGGUCGUAAAGCUCUGUCAAGAGGAAAGAAGUGUACAAUGGCUAAUACCUGUUGUAUUUGACGGUACCUCUAAAGGAAGCACCGGCUAACUCCGUGCCAGCAGCCGC
rnacentral:rRNA from 1 species